UUCCGGUUGAUCCCGCCGGACCCUACUGCUAUCGGGGUGGGACUAAGACAUGCGAGUUGAGCGUCUCUAAGCUAUGGUAGAGACGCGGCGUACGGCUCAGUAACACGUGGCUAACCUACCCUUAGGACGGGGACAACCCCGGGAAACUGGGGCUAAUACCCGAUAGGCGAGGAGGCCUGGAAUGGUUCUUAGUCGAAAAGGCGUUGAAACCAUGCUUUUCGACGUCGCCUAAGGAUGGGGCCGCGCCCGAUCAGGUUGUUGGUGGGGUAACGGCUCACCAAGCCUAUAACCGGUACGGGCCGUGAGAGCGGGAGCCCGGAGAUGGGCACUGAGACAAGGGCCCAGGCCCUACGGGGCGCAGCAGUCGCGAAAACUCCGCAAUGCGCGAAAGCGUGACGGGGCUACCCCGAGUGCCGUCCGCUGAGGAUGGCUUUUCUCCGGUGUAAUGAGCCGGGGGAAUAAGGAGAGGGCAAGUCUGGUGUCAGCCGCCGCGGUAAUACCAGCUCUCCGAGUGGUAGGGAUGAUUAUUGGGCUUAAAGCGUCCGUAGCCGGCUUAGCAAGUCUCCUGUUAAAUUCAGCGACCUAAUCGUUGAGCCGCGGGAGAUACUACUAGGCUAGGAGGCGGGAGAGGCCGACGGUAUUCUCGGGGUAGGGGUGAAAUCCUAUAAUCCCGGGAGGACCACCAGUGGCGAAGGCUGUCGGCUAGAACGCGCUCGACGGUGAGGGACGAAAGCUGGGGGAGCGAACCGGAUUAGAUACCCGGGUAGUCCCAGCUGUAAACGAUGCGGGCUAGGUGUUGGGGUGGCUACGAGCCACUUCAGUGCCGCAGGGAAGCCAUUAAGCCCGCCGCCUGGGGAGUACGGCCGCAAGGCUGAAACUUAAAGGAAUUGGCGGGGGAGCACCACAAGGCGUGAAGCUUGCGG
rnacentral:rRNA from 1 species